rnacentral:sRNA from 1 species
UCCCAGCCGGGUUCGUGUCGCCAUGGGGCAGAUCGAGUGGGCCAUGUGGGCCAACGAGCAGGCGCUGGCGUCCGGCCUGAUCCUCAUCACCGGGGGCAUCGUGGCCACAGCUGGGCGCUUCACCCAGUGGUACUUUGGUGCCUACUCCAUUGUGGCGGGCGUGUUUGUGUGCCUGCUGGAGUACCCCCGGGGGAAGAGGAAGAAGGGCUCCACCAUGGAGCGCUGGGGACAGAAGUACAUGACCGCCGUGGUGAAGCUGUUCGGGCCCUUUACCAGGAAUUACUACGUUCGGGCCGUCCUGCAUCUCCUGUGAGUCCCCGCCCUGCACCCCCUCUAGGGCUCAGGAGGGCUUGGAGCCGACCCUCCCCACUGUCCCACCGGCCGGGCUGCCUGGACAGGAGCCACCCCCACUUACCUCAGUGUUUUUCCAAACAAAAAUUCGGGUCCCUGGCUCUGGCAGGGCCUGUGUCUGCUGUCUAGUGUGCAGGAUUUGUAAGGAUCCACUCCAAAUCCGAGUAGCUCCGAUCCGUCGCCACGGUCUGGGGUCAGCAGGCACUGCUGGGGGGUCUUGCCUGGGCUUCCUGGUAGGGUGGAGGGUUCCGUGCUGUGUGUCUGGUGGUUACUGCCGGCUGAGGCCAGGAGACCCACACGUGGCUGGUUCCUCCGAGCAAGUGCCCCAGAGCCACUAGUGUCCACAUCAAGGCCGAGAACACCCAGGACCGAAACAAGCCCUGGUCCGCGCACGUCCCCUGGGUGUUCCUUGUGCUGAGACUUUGCAGCCCUGGGCCAUGCACGUCCCCUUGGUCUGCAGUCUGCCUUGUCCUGAGACUUUGUGGCCUUGGCCCCCAGACCUGGGGCUCCGUUCCCCUUUCUGAGUGCCCUUCUGUGUCCCUGCCUCUCACCCGCUGUCCCCCAGGCUCUCGGUGCCCGCCGGCUUCCUGCUGGCCACCAUCCUUGGGACCGCCUGCCUGGCCAUUGCGAGCGGCAUCUACCUGCUGGCAGCUGUGCGUGGCGAGCAGUGGACGCCCAUCGAGCCCAAGCCCCGGGAGCGGCCGC